GCAUGUGGCCUAGUGGUUAGGGCAUUUGGCUCAUGAUCAUAAGGUCAUGAGUUCAAUUCCCAGCAAUGCA
rnacentral:tRNA from 1 species